rnacentral:lncRNA from 1 species
GGCUGAAGUCGGCAGCCCCAGCCGACUUCAGCCCCGUCUUCCUCUUUUGGAAGGGGCAGAACAGGGGAUCGCAGACGCGAUCCCCUCCGACUUCUCCGGGCACAAGGACGCCGCGGACCCUCCGCGGCUACAUCGCGGACCCUCCGCGGCUACAUCGCGGUGGUUUCGCGUCCACCCCGCGGCCGCACGAGCGGCCGCUGAUCUCGCUUGGCCGCCGUGAUUCACGCGGCGGAGAGCCAUUACCAU